rnacentral:lncRNA from 1 species
AAGAAUGUAAGUCAUUCCAAAUAUAAUCAUACUGAUAAAAUGUCUUAUGUUGAUUUGCAAAAUGCCUUUAGUACUCUACACAACGAGGCCAAGGAAGCUUUUAAACGCUUGGCCUCUAAUAAGAAAAUUUUCAGUCAUUUAGAAAAGAGGAUUUCUGACUCCGAAAAGGAAUUAUAAACUCUUAAGAAAUCUAUGAUAGAGAUUACUAAAGGCAAAACGGAAGACGAUAAGGGAUUUGGGUGUUUAUAUGGGCUGGAUGUGAAACUUG